rnacentral:lncRNA from 1 species
CUUAAACAACCAAAAAGUACAUGAGCCUCUUCCUUCAAAUGUCAGAAUGCCAUUUAGCCUGACAGCGUUCUCAUUAUUAUGCACUGAGAGCUUCUCUAACCCAACCUGUCAAAAAUUUCUAACAGACAGGAGCCUCAUCAACUUGGAGCCAAUGUCUCAGUCUUGUGUCAGGGUUUAGAAGCUUUCAGUGAGGUAAGGGGAGAGAGGCCUGCUUGGAUGUCCUUUGAUACCAGGAGUCCCCUGGGGAUUCCUUCCCAUCAUGUCCUGGAAGAGGAAGAAGCCAGGCUAACGUGGGUGGAAGGUUAGAGAGACACCUUCAAGUGACUGCUUUGGAGAUGACCCCAGAUCUGCAGUCAUUUCAGAGACAGAACAAAGGCAGUCCAGAGAGAGAGCUUCUGGGGGCAGCUGCGACCUCACUGGGAUCAACUGGGAUUCUGGGGCCAGUUAAGUCCGUUUUCCACGUUGACUCUUCCAGAACCAGAAAUGUGCACACUGAACCCACUCCUGCUGAAGAAGACUGCUGUGACUGAUGCAGAUAUGCUAACAGGCACAGGAAAAGGAUCCAGAUUCCUUUGGCCAUGCUCCUGAAAUCCACUGCCUUCAAAAGCCCACAAAACUGCCCUUACGAAGCAGUCGCAGCAGUUCAGAGACCAUGCCCACCCCACACCUCCCUGCAAGCCUGGCCUCUUCACGGACCUAGGCCAUCCCGACCUUCAGGGAAUGUGGUAAUAGAGUCUAUGGCCCGCCUGUGGGGACUGGUGACCUCCAGAUGUGCAUGCUUCAAAAGAAUUACUAGAAGACAAAAGUGAAAAAGAGAAACUCAGGCAUCUUGCAUGUUUGCUAAAUAAAUCAAUAAGCAAAUAAAUGAUUGAGUGAAAGAGUGGGCUCUGCAAUGUGAUGGUGGAGCAGGAUUUAAACGGUGGAAACAGAGAGGGUCACUUCUCCACAAAAUAGCACCAUGGAGUUUUUCUUGUUUUUUUGCUUUUUUUUUUUUUUUU